rnacentral:rRNA from 1 species
ACCGACUCCCGGCACGGGGAGGUAGUGACGAAAAAUAACGAUACGGGACUCAUCCGAGGCCCCGUAAUCGGAAUGAGUAUACUCUAAAUCCUUAUACGAGUAUCAAUUGGAGGGCAAGUCUGGUGCCAGCAGCCGCGGUAAUUCCAGCUCCAAUAGCGUAUAUUAAAGUUGUUGCGGUUAAAAAGCUCGUAGUUGGAUCUGUGUCCCGCGCCGUCGGUUCGCCGCCUGUCGGUGUUUAACUGGCGUGUAUGCGGGACGUCCUGCCGGUGGCGUGGUGUUUUUUGCGGCACGUAGGUUUGCGUUGUUGUGUUCGCACUCGGCGCUUUCCGAAGUCCGCAGUUAACCCGCGCCUGUUGAUCCCGUCGCGGUGCUCUUCACCGAGUGUCGAGGCGGGCCGGCACGUUUACUUUGAACAAAUUAGAGUGCUUUAAGCAGGCCCUGUCCCGCCUGUAUGUUGUGUGCAUGGAAUAAUGGAAUAGGACCUCGGUUCUAUUUUGUUGGUUUUCGGAAUCUGAGGUAAUGAUCAAUGGGGACAGGCGGGGGCAUUCGUAUUGCGACGUUAGAGGUGAAAUUCUUGGAUCGUCGCAAGACGGACCGAAGCGAAAGCAUUUGCCAAGUAUGUUCUCGUCGAUCAAGAACGAAAGUUAGAGGUUCGAAGGCGAUCAGAUACCGCCCUAGUUCUAACCAUAAACUAUGCCUGCCAGCGAUCCGCCGAAGUUCCUCCGAUGACUCGGCGGGCAGCUUCCGGGAAACCAGAGCUUUUGGGUUCCGGGGGAAGUAUGGUUGCAAAGCUGAAACUUAAAGGAAUUGACGGAAGGGCACCACCAGGAGUGGAGCCUGCGGCUUAAUUUGACUCAACACGGGAAAACUCACCAGGCCCGGACACCGGAAGGAUUGACAGAUUGAGAGCUCUUUCUUGAUUCGGUGGGUGGUGGUGCAUGGCCGUUCUUAGUUGGUGGAGCGAUUUGUCUGGUUAAUUCCGAUAACGAACGAGACUCUAGCCUACUAACUAGGCGUACCCGGUAUCCACAAUCGUGCUACCGGCGAUUCAAUUUCUUCUUAGAGGGACAGGCGGCUUCUAGCCGCACGAGACUGAGCAAUAACAGGUCUGUGAUGCCCUUAGAUGUCCUGGGCCGCACGCGCGCUACACUGAAGGAAUCAGCGUGUCUUCCCUGUCCGAAAGGACCGGGCAACCCGCUGAACCUCCUUUGUGCUAGGGAUUGGGGCUUGCAAUUGUUCCCCAUGAACGAGGAAUUCCCAGUAAGCGCGAGUCAUAAGCUCGCGUUGAUUACGUCCCUGCCCUUUGUACACA